CUUUAAGGAGUUAAAUCACUUUGUUUAUGGACUCUAGUCACACCUCCCUGCAUGUGACUUGCACAGCCUUCAUAAACACUUCCUGUAAAGAGUCAUCUAAUGUUUAUCCAUCCUUUAUUGGAAGUUCUGUUUAAUUUAGAUUUUCUUAUCCCCUGCUAUAUUAAUAGUUUGCUAGACCCUGCAAGAGCCUCUUGUAUGUGAUUGAAGUUCAAUUUACAGAGCAAGAGAUACAAUUGGUUAAGGUAAAUUACAUCUGAUUGAAAGUAAAACAAUUUUUUCAUACAGGCUCUGUCAAUCAGAUCCAGGGGAGGUGUUGCAAGGGCUGCAUAAACAGAAACAACUUGAUUUAACUCCUAAAUUGCAGAGAAUUGUGCAGUGAAACCUGAGAGGUAUGAUCUAUACACUAAAACUGCUUCAUUAUGCUAAUGUUGUUUAGGUGACUACAGUGUCCUUUUAAUCAUUUGAGAAUCUUAUCCAAAAGAAAUAAAACAAGUCUAAAUGAUUUACAUACAAAACUUCCCAUAGACCUUAUUUGAUGGUGACUUCUGCAGAG